GUUUGGGAAGUAGCAAUCUCAGUGCCUGUGGAGUCAGGGAGAACGGAGGGCGGGUCUGUGAGGAGGCCCUGGUGAGGACGAUGCUCGAGUCAGCCCCCUGGGGCUGCCCUGAAGCAGGAGGCUGUGGAGGGAAUCGAGGCUGAUGAGGAGGGUGCCGCCUGCACGUGGGCCCCGGGUCGAGAGAGGGAGCACAAUCUGGGAUGAAGACGGAUGAGAACAGAGGGUGAUUCUGAGAGUCCGAAUGAGAGGAGGACCCAGAGCAAGCCAUUUUGAACAAAAAGCCUUGAAAAUGUGAAAGUUCCUCCCCGAGGGCUCCUUCUGCAUGGCACAGACCUUUCAUCACCAACCCAACUUGUAAUCUUGGGUCAAAGAAGGUUCUCAGCUCAUUUUCAAGGAGGAAAAAAAGCAAAGCAAAACAGCCACAUCAUGCAGUUGCUCCACGUCAGGAGGCUUGCCCUGUUGGGUUGCCAUUACUCUGGGCUCCAUCCAGGAGGGCCUGGGCUGCCCACUGGCCUCCCACCUCAUUCCUGGCCAACUGGGGCUGGAGUUAGCAGCUGGACUGCCCAGGAGGCCACCAGCAGGCUCUGAGGAGAAGGCUGCUUAGAAAUUCGCUUAGAGAUUCUUGGCAGGACAGUGGCAGCCAAGGGCAGGGAGAACAGUCAUGUCAGACCCACCACAUCAGCUACCCGCUGCGACACUCCUAUUUCAGGUUUCUGCUCAAACUGCUCCUACCCCAGCCUUCCCCUGGGAUUCCUUGAUUACUUCUCUUGGCUCAUCUAAAUCUUGCCCACCUUUGACAGCCAGCACACGUUCCACCUCCCAGGACCAUGGUGCCCCCAUACCCCACAGUUACUCAUUCAAGAGUUUAUUGGCCACUUUUUCAGGGCCAGGCCAAAGACAAACAAGACUUGGUCUCUGCUCUUCCCCACGAUAGGGAAGGCAGAUGGGGAACAAUUACGAGCCAGCGUGCAAAGCACCUGUAACAAUUUGUACUGAUUUUCAGGGUGCCAUGUGCUUCUCUCUCCUCAGUCAGCAAGGUGGCUUAUUUCCUGUUUGAGGGUAGACUGGUUGUCUUUGCUUUUCAAGUCAAAUGGGAAUAAGAAUAAUACCUAUCUCAUGGAGCUAUUGUGAGGAUUUGACGAGACUAUCUAUGUAAAGUGCUUAGGAAGUUCCGGGCACAUGGGAAGUACUAGAAAAGAGUUAGCUAUUAUUAUCUUGCAUAACAAUUUUUAUUGUUCUCCCUGCAUAUGUCAGAACAUGGCAUCCCAGGCCUAGCCUUCUAAGACUCCUCAGUCAUCCCUCAGAAGGGACUGACUAAAGGGACCCAUUCUUUUGGGGGACAUCUGAAUACCUAGCUGAGUCAGGGGUUCCCUCGUGGCUCUGAGGAAGGGGUACAGGCCGGGAAGACAUCCCAGAUGGACUCUAUUAAAGUCUCCAUUUUUCAAACGGUUCCAGUGCCAACAGCCUCCUGAAGGGAAACUUGUGGUUGCUGUGCAAACUACUUGGAGCCCCUCCUAAGAAAGGCCGUCUCACCUCACCUCACCCAGACACAGGCGACGGCGGAGCCUGAGAAACACAGUUCUGACCAGGAGACAAAUUCAUGAUCACAACCACGUCUGCAAAUAAGAGAGCAUGGACUCUAUGGUCCUGGAGGGACAUAAAAUCCUGGAGCUGGGUGGUCUCCAUCAUCUGUCCCCACACCACUGCCCCUCUCCUGCGGCUUUUCCUUCAUUGGGCCUCCACAUCAUUCAUCUUGAGGGAGAGGCUGCUCCGGGCUCUGCAUCCAUUCUCAGGAUGUCAGCCAUGUGGACUCUUCAGAGAAGACCUGGGUGGGACAGUCUGAUCGAAUGACGUCCAAGUGACAAGACACAUUACAUCAUCAUGGAGAGGAACUGAAGUGGUUUCAAGAGGGAAACUGACGUCAUGGUCUUUAUAAGCAGCUUGGGGAUGGCAGUAAUGAAGGGGAGGGAGGUCGUUGGUGGAGCAAGGAUCAGGAAAUGAAAAACUGGUUCUCCUUAGAAGAGGAAAAAGGAGAACAAUCUUAAGGCAAAAAAGGAGCUAUUUUUCUUUAAGAGGCCACAUUCAUUUUUCAAAGGUGAUUUUCUUUGGUGCUAAGGAAAUAAUUCUUAAAGGUUUUUAGAAACUGUUACACAACAGCUUCUUCCUAAAGGCUGAAUGACAGACACUUGAGAAAACUUCCUAGCAGAGCAGGCUCCACUGAAGUGUACUCAGCACUCUCAUUCCGCAGGAGGAACAUUCUCACUUCAGGAGGCUCACACUGAUCUCAUUUCGGUCCUUAGCAGGAGGGAGCUGGGGAACGCCAAAGGUCUUUCACUAGAGCUUCCCCAUGGGCUGCCAUGCUGUCCAGUGGGGUGCAGACCAGCCUGCUUCUGCAGGAGAGUGAAGUAGCUUCCAAUAAGGUUGUGGCCUCUCGGGGGUGUAAGUUGUCUUUCGAAAGGCCCACAGUGCGGGGCAAGAGUUCUAUUGCAAACUGAACUAGAAAUAAAAUAACCUGAUUUGCUCACUUCACCAGAGACAUGGCCCAGGGCCUGUGCGGUAGGUGUCCAAUGCUGAGAGGCCUUGUCCUCAGGCAGAAGACCUUCCAUCAUGGCUAGGGAAUCACCUUCCAGACAUGCAUACUGCACCUGCCUCAGUAACCCAGACAUCGGAAAGGCAGAGCUUCCAUAAGACGGAGGGCAAAAUACAAGUGGAAAUCUGAUGUCUCUAAGAAAGCGACACUGAAGAGAACCAAGCCGCUGCCAUCCACACCUAACAAAACCUUCAGGGAGUGCUCUUGAGAGGACCAAGAGGCCAAAUACGUAGCCCAAGGAUGUCACUCCUGAUGUGUCCAUGUCUUGUGCCUUCCUCUCCCACACCCAGGCCUCCGCUUGGGUGAUGCUCCAAGCUGCUAACGCCCCCACCCCCUUCUACCGCCUCUCCCCCAUCACAGCCCCCGUCUGCGGACGUUCAUCUCAGCUGGGGCAAGGAGGAAAGCACGUGAAUGAAGGAAUUCAAAGCAAGAUGUGCAUGAUGGAUAGCCUCUCAGGGCUAUUUGUAUUCGAAAAGAGAAGCCCCUCUCGCUGAGAAACACACUCUAAAGACAGACUUCAGAUGUUAGGAGGCGAGGAGCCAGGCCAGCUGUGUGGAGCUGUAUUCCCGCCAAGUAACUGAAUGUCGGCUUUCAGGCGGUUUUGUGGAGCUGCUACAAUCUUCCACCUCUGCAGAGAGCAUUCCCGUUCCUUCCAGUUUCCACGAAAGGUCAUAGAGAGAGAAAAAGAGAUUCUUUAGUUCGGGCACUACGUAUUGAAUACCAAAUCUUUGUACUUGAGCCUGCAAUGUAUGGACAAGUAUAUUCUAUCAGCCUGGAAAAGAGUUGUUCAAAAGCAUUGGGGACUUAAAAGACACUUUUCAGAUAAAGACCCUUUUCUUUGUCAGCUGCGAAAUAAAUAGCUGUAUUUUCCAGCCCGUGUGUCCAUUAACCAAGUCCUGCGCCAUCCUGGGUACCCCUUGUCAUCUGCCCUUUUUAUUCUUUGUGGAUAGCACCCUGGAAUCUGAGCAUCCUGGCUUGCUGCAGACCCUCGGAUUCCUCAUCAGCCCCGGGCUCUGCGGAAACCGCCCUCAGGAGACAGGGCCAAGGCUGGCCAACAGGCUGCUGCGCGUUGCCAUUCGACUUCCACUGGGCCCGCAAGUGCUCCUUUCUGGGCCAGUGUUUUCAGGGCUGAAUUUCAUACGGGCCAGAAUCUUCUGCAACAGGAAAUGGACCAACUAGCUUUGCUGAGACUCACUCUAUUCCUGGAGUCCCGAUGAAGGGAAACUUUGGAAUUAGUGCCGGAAUGAAGAAAUGGUCAGUUUCAUUAAGUUAGCAUCAGUAUUUAUUAAAAUAAAUAUAAUGCAUUUGAAAAUCCACCUUUAAUGUCCUGAGUAAAUACACUUAUUUUCCUUGUUUCAAUUAAUAAGGCUUCAUGUAUGGUGUCAUGAGACCAAUUACACAAAGUACUCUUGACAGGCUCAUUAUUUUCUUGCCACAUUCUGGCCUACAUAAGAGACAAACUUGCUUUGGGAUGUUCAGAC
rnacentral:lncRNA from 1 species